GAAGGCAGAUUAGCACAUUCAUCUGAUUAAACAGGACUUAAACAGAAAGCCAGGCCAGGAGAUUCCUGGGCAGCAACGUGGUUUGAGCCAGCACAGUGGGUCGCUGCACAGGAAAUCACACAGAUCCUGGCACCCUUGCAGCAGGCGACUGGAACACCUGGGAGAGAGUCAACCGUUCAACUUAAAAAAAAAAAAAGCGGGGGGGCUCUGAGGCAGGGAGCCAGGUGAUCAGGCUCAACGGGUCCCACCCCCGCAAAAAUAAACAAAACAGCAAUUGGAAACGCUUUGGGUUCAGAGUUUCACGGCAGGCACAGCUGAACCCAGGACAGUGCAGCUCGGUGGGGGAGGGGCAUCCACCACUACCGAGGCACACGACUUCUACGGAGGUACGCUGCCAUUGCUGACACAGCCUGCCAUUGCCAAGGCAACCCGCCAUAACAGAGAGAGCCCGCCACUGCAGAGGCUGGCCACCUUCGCCACUGCAGUUCUAACCACACCCAUAUAAACAGGGCUACAGGGAAUUACACACAGCAGCACGGCGGAGCCCACGACAGCAGGGCAGAGCCCACAGCAACAGGGCAGAGCCCACAACAGCUCAUCAUAGCCACUACAGGUAGGCAGUGACUAGACUGCCUCCUUGCUGAGCAGGAAAGUGCAACAGAUACUCAUAAAUAAAGCCCUAACUCCCUGGGACAGAGCACCUGAGGGAAAAAAAGGGGGCUUUAUGAGUUCCGCUGCAGCAGACUUAAACAUACCUGCCUAGCAGCCCUGAAUGAACAACGGAGCUCACAGCUCAGCACUAGAGCUCCUAUAAAGUAUAGACUGUCUCCAAAACAGCUCCCUGACCCCCAUAUAUCCAAAGAGUCACUUCACAAAGGACUGAUCAGACUGACAUUUGGCGAGCAUCAUUCAGGGACAAAGAUAGCAGCAGAAGAAUCUGGUAGCAACCCUCACAGUUCCGCAGCUGCUACAGGAGUUCCCCAGAAUCUAUGAGGAAGUUAAGAAAGAAGAGGAAACUGGAACUCAAAGGCCUUAGAGAUUUAUGCAACUUUUGACUGUUUAGAGCAUGGAAGAGCCAGGACAAGGUUUUCUCAAUCAUGAUCUAACACACUACCUACUAUCCCACACUCCCUCUGAAAAGACAAGUCAUAGAACAGGAACAUGCUAUCUUGAAUGAAAGAAUUCUAUCGACCACAAUCCCAAAUGCAAUAAUCUGUAUUUAGUUUGAUUGGUCCCCUAGUUUUCAGUAUAAUCCCAGAAAAUUCUCUGAAGAUAAACAAGAGAAACCCUUUUUAGAAGAUCACAUCCAAGCAUGUCAUACUGUAUUCUUUAGUGUAGAAAGAAGUCUCUUCGAUUAUAAAUAUUCAAGAGGAAAGAAUUCAACGUGAUUGAAAGGCAUAUGGCUUGUGGAUGCACAAUCAUAGCUAGUCUUUUCCAUUAUCUUUACAGUUCUAUGCCAGUCAUACUCAGUAAGAGAACUUGGAACCUAAGGAGACAGUCCCAUCAGAACAAGAGAUUUCUAUCUUAAAAAACAAGCUACAUUUGACCAAUUUAAAUGGAUAAAUGUGGUUAUAAAAACUAACCACUCCACUCUGCCCUACCCAACUCACUCCAUUAGUUUGAAUGUUACGCAUCACAUGAAAGCAGAAUAGAACUAAUAUUAUCAGCAAUCUCUUCUAGCUAUUUGACUCCACCACGCUAAUUGGUUGCAUAGCAAUCAGUAUUCAGACUUCUUCAGUUAUAUCAAAAAUAUGUAUAUACCUUAGAGAUGUUAAGAUAAGGAGGAAAAUGGGUUGCUACCUUGUUUUUUGUCUUUCCAUACUCAAAUACAUUUUUUCUUUCCCAGCAAGUGGAAACCUUAUCUCAUCAUGCUUAAACUUCAAAAUGUCAGAGGUUUAUUUCUGAGGGAUAUGUUAAAGAUUAUUCAAUCAAUGUUACAUCCAUAUGGAUAAAAAUGAUUUCAGCCUUAACCAUCAUCAUAUUACUAGCAUCUACACAAGUGCCUGGAAUUGGUUAGACGCCCAGUAAAUAGGAAAGGAGAAAGGAAGGAGAGAGGAAAAAAGAGAAAAAGAAAGGAGGGAGGGAGAACAAUUUGCCCUAGCAAACUCAGUAACUCAUUUCUUUCAAACUGUUAGGGGCAUAAAACACACAAUAGAAAAAAGGCAAUUAACAGAAUAAAAUACUUUGCUCUUUAAAGGACUUUGCUC
rnacentral:lncRNA from 13 species